rnacentral:pre_miRNA from 1 species
UAUAUACUCCCUCCGUUCCAAAUUACUCGUCGCUGAAAUGGAUGUAUCUAAAAUUAAAAUACAUCUAGAUACAUCCAUACGUGCGACAAGUAAUUCGGAACGGAGGGAGUAUGUA